GUCAAUGGUCAAACUACUCUGAACAUACAUAACAUCACACAGUGUCAGAAGCUAAGCAGAGUUAGGCCUGGUUAGUCUUGAAUGAGAGAAAAUGAAACCUCCAGAUAUACCAUGGUGA
ensembl:rRNA 5S_rRNA 5S ribosomal RNA